rnacentral:ncRNA from 1 species
CUAAUCGCGAGGUUAGGGCUGGAGGAAGCGUGGGAAUAAAAUCUUGGCUCGACGAACAGAAAUCUGAUACUAAGGCUCUACAAAGGGAUGAGACUCCACAACAAGUCAAAGUCCAAAAGAUGUGCGUAACUUUGUAGAGUAAAUCAGACGAGUAAAAGAGGAAAGAUAGUUGU